rnacentral:rRNA from 1 species
UACGUAGGGGUGCAAGCGUUGUCCGGAUUAUUGGGCGUAAAGAGCGUGUAGGCGGUUUGGUAGGUCCGCUGUGAAAACUCGAGGCUCAACCUCGAGACGCCGGUGGAAACCAUCAGGCUAGAGUCCGGAAGAGGAGAGUGGAAUUCCUGGUGUAGCGGUGAAAUGCGCAGAUAUCAGGAGGAACACCGGUGGCGAAGGCGGGUCUCUGGGCAAUAACUGACGCUGGAGGAGCGAAAAGCCAUGGGGAGCGAACAGG